UACGUAGGGUGCGAGCGUUGUCCGGAAUUAUUGGGCGUAAAGAGCUCGUAGGCGGUGUGUCACGUCGGCCGUGAAAAACCUGCAGCUUAACUGUGGGCGUGCGGUCGAUACGGGCAUCACUGGAGUUCGGCAGGGGAGACUGGAAUUCCUGGUGUAGCGGUGAAAUGCGCAGAUAUCAGGAAGAACACCUGUGGUGUAGACAGCUUACUGGACCACUUCUGACGCUGAGACACGAAAAGCGUGGGGAGCGAACAGG
rnacentral:rRNA from 1 species